rnacentral:rRNA from 1 species
UACAGACGUGGCAAGCGUUGUUCGGAAUUACUGGGCGUAAAGGGCGCGUAGGCGGCCUGUUAAGUCGGACGUGAAAUCCCUCGGCUCAACCGGGGAACUGCGUCCGAUACUGGCGGGCUUGAAUUCGGGAGAGGGAUGUGGAAUUCCAGGUGUAGCGGUGAAAUGCGUAGAUAUCAGGAGGAACACCAAUGGCGAAGGCAGCUCGCUGGGACGUGACUGACGCUGAGACGCGAAAGCGUGGGGAGCAAACAGG